ACCUCGAUGUCGGCUCGUCACAUCCUGGGGCUGGAGCAGGUCCCAAGGGUUCGGCUGUUCGCCGAUUAAAGUGGCACGCGAGCUGGGUUCAGAACGUCGCGAGACAGUUCGGUCCCUAUCUGUGGUGGGCGUUGGAAUUUUGAGAAGUGCUGUCCUUAGUACGAGAGGACCGGGAUGGACGCACCUCUAGUGUACCUGUUGUGGCGCCAGCUGCAUCGCAGGGUAGCUACGUGCGGAAUGGAUAAGUGCUGAAAGCAUCUAAGCACGAAGCCUGCUUCAAGAUGAGAAUUCCUUUAAGGGUCGUCGAAGACUACGACGUUGAUAGGCUGUAGGUGUAAAGUCAGUAAUGGCAAAGCCGAGCAGUACUAAUUACCCGUAGCUUUCUUAA
rnacentral:rRNA from 1 species